rnacentral:rRNA from 1 species
CCUACGGGAGGCAGCAGUAGGGAAUAUUGCUCAAUGGGGGAAACCCUGAAGCAGCAACGCCGCGUGGAGGAUGAAGGUUUUCGGAUUGUAAACUCCUUUUGUUAGUGAAGAUAAUGACGGUAUCUAACGAAUAAGCACCGGGCACCUCCGUGCCAGCAGCCGCGGUAAUACGUAGGGUCCAAGCGUUACUCGGAAUCACUGGGCGUAAAGGGCGCGUAGGCGGGAUAGCAAGUCAGAUGUGAAAUCCUAUGGCUUAACCAUAGAACGGCAUUUGAAACUGUUAUUCUAGAGUAUGGGAGAGGUAGGUGGAAUGCUUGGUGUAGGGGUAAAAUCCGUAGAGAUCAAGAGGAAUACUCAUUGCGAAGGCGACCUGCUAGAACAUAACUGACGCUGAGGCGCGAAAGCGUGGGGAGCAAACAGGAUUAGAUACCCGGGUAGUC